CCUACGGGAGGCAGCAGUGAGGAAUAUUGGUCAAUGGGCGAGAGCCUGAACCAGCCAAGUCGCGUGAAGGAUGAAGGAUCUAUGGUUUGUAAACUUCUUUUAUAUGGGAAUAAAGUGAGGAACGUGUUCCUUUUUGUAUGUACCAUAUGAAUAAGCAUCGGCUAACUCCGUGCCAGCAGCCGCGGUAAUACGGAAGGCCCGAGCGUUAUCCGGAUUCAUUGGGCUUAAAGGGAGCGUAGGCGGGCGUUCAAGUCAGCUGUAAAAUCGCGCGGCUCAACCGCGCCCCGGAGUUGAAACUGGACGCCUUGAGUUCACAACAGGCAGGCGGAAUUCGUGGUGUAGCGGUGAAAUGCAUAGAUAUCACGAGGAACCCCGAUUGCGAAGGCAGCCUGCCGGGGUGCGACUGACGCUGAGGCUCGAAGGUGCGGGUAUCAAACAGGAUUAGAUACCCUGGUAGUC
rnacentral:rRNA from 1 species